rnacentral:RNase_P_RNA from 1 species
UCAGUCGGCCGGACGGCCGCUCUCGCAAUGAUCGAAAGGUCGCGAGGGAGGAAAGUCCGGGCUCCAUCGACAUGCGGUGCCGGAUAACGUCCGGCGGGGGCGACCCCAGGGAAAGUGCCACAGAGAACGAACCGCCUUCCUCUCGAUGAAGGUAAGGGUGAAAAGGUGCGGCAAGAGCGCACCGCGUUUCUAGCAAUAGAAGCGGCAUGGCAAACCACACCGGGAGCAAGACCGAAUAGGGACGGUAUAGCGGCGAGUUCGCUCCAGAAUGGUAUUUUGGGACGAUAACUCCGCGGGGCGAUGUCAGGCUCACUGUCCGGGUAGGUUGCUUGAGGCGCCGGGUAAUCGGCGUCCCAGAGGAAUGGCCGUCACGUCUGCGUGGUGCAAACCAUUCGGGCCCUACAGAACCCGGCUUACAGGCUGGCUGACAUA